CCUUUUGCCUUCAGAGAAGCAAGGCUGGCUGGUUUCUGAAGGACAGAAAGAAAGGCAGGCCAAUCUGUACAUGUUCAGUAGUGGCACAGAAUAGUAGAAAAUAUCAUGUCUCAUCUAGUAAAGGAAACUUGAAUGGUCACAUUAUUAAUUCUUGAUUACAGGUCUUUACAGUGAAAACAUAACAUACCGUGAUAACAGUUAAAGAUUCCAAGACGGCUGGUGCCUGUUGUGCUGGGCACUGCCCAGUCUAUGAAAAUAGCCCACUGCAAGCUGGAUCUCUGACUGGACAGCGCAUCCUUUACCUUGUGCACAGGUCAGCAUCGCUCAGAGAAGGCGGCUGAUGGAGACGCCGGCUAGCACCUGGGCGAUGUUUCUCCAUUUGGCGUUAAAUGUUCCAGUGUUUUACAGCAUUUUGGGGCAACAGAAAGGGGAAAAGCGAAGGAAAGAGUUUCAGUUUUUUCAAUGUGGAACCUGCUUUGCUGCAAUUUUCAGAGAGACCUGUUCUGAAGCGCAGGGCUGGAACAGGACGGCAGCAUGAUGCAGUAGAUACAGUAACGGCUUUGAUGUCCCAAUAGACAACUUAUGAAAGCACAGCACUGAACACAGCUUGGAAUGAUCCCAUCACGUCUCAGUAGAAGACCUGCUUCCAGGAGAUGCUAAGCAAUGUUUCGAAAUACUCACCAUGCUUCAGUCCCACACCUUACGGAGCAGUUAUAACAGUCAGUCAUACGUAUUGAUUAGCUUGGCAGUACAGAGGAACUCGCAAUACAACCUACUUCUCAGGAAAGAUCACUUGAGAACAUUUUUCUUUUUUAAAGUAUUAAAAUGAUCAAGGAAACUGACGUUGUGAGUGUUUUGUAAAUCUUUACUAAGGAAUGGCAAAACCAGGACAAUUCAUCAUUUGAGUUUUACAAAUCCUCACUAAGAACACUUUUCAUAUGGAAGCCAGCUUUAGUCCAUCAAUAUUUCAUAUUUCUAUAUAAGAAUAGGGUGAGAGUUUGACUUAUAAAAAUAUUCAGUGCUUUAUUAACUUGCCUUUUUGCCUUAUUGCAAAGAGAAUUGGAAAGCCCUGAGUGAGUUACAGCUAGGGGUUCUGCAGCUUUUCACUCUGCUCUACAAUUUUCUUUAUGCUCCUUUAGCCUAUGUUAAGUGUGCACCAUUGCUGCCAUUUGAGCAUCUGUCCCCUGCUGCACUGAAUCACCAGAAAGCAGCUCUUGUACUCCAUCUGUGACAGCUCCAAGCUCAGAGGAAACACUCUUUGUGGAAAUGCUGAUUCAAUGUGGCAGGGGAUAACUGGGCUGGCAGAAGCUGCUUUGUGCUUUUUAAUAACUGGGAAAAGAAGGCUGGGAAUGACAGACAGGGCAGGAAGCAAAGAAUGUACAUCCU
rnacentral:lncRNA from 1 species